rnacentral:rRNA from 1 species
AUUGAACGCUGGCGGCAGGCCUAACACAUGCAAGUCGAACGGUAACAGGAAGCAGCUUGCUGCUUUGCUGACGAGUGGCGGACGGGUGAGUAAUGUUUGGGAAACUGCCCGAUGGAGGGGGAUAACUACUGGAAACGGUAGCUAAUACCGCAUAACGUCGCAAGACCAAAGAGGGGGACCUUAGGGCCUCUUGCCAUCGGAUGUGCCCAGAUGGGAUUAGCUAGUAGGUGGGGUAACGGCUCACCUAGGCGACGAUCCCUAGCUGGUCUGAGAGGAUGACCAGCCACACUGGAACUGAGACACGGUCCAGACUCCUACGGGAGGCAGCAGUGGGGAAUAUUGCACAAUGGGCGCAAGCCUGAUGCAGCCAUGCCGCGUGUAUGAAGAAGGCCUUCGGGUUGUAAAGUACUUUCAGCGGGGAGGAAGAGAGUAAAGUUAAUACCUUUGCUCAUUGACGUUACCCGCAGAAGAAGCACCGGCUAACUCCGUG